UGCCAGCAGCCGCGGUAAUACGGAGGGGGUUAGCGUUGUUCGGAAUUACUGGGCGUAAAGGGCGCGCAGGCGAUCUUGUCCGUCAGGUGUGAAAGCUCGGGGCUCAACCCCGGAAGUGCACUUGAAACAGCAAGACUUGAAUACGGGAGAGGAGAGAGGAAUUCCUGGUGUAGAGGUGAAAUUCGUAGAUAUCAGGAGGAACACCGAUGGCGAAGGCAUCUCUCUGGACCGAUAUUGACGCUGAGGCGCGAAGGCGUGGGGAGCAAACAGGAUUAGAUA
rnacentral:rRNA from 1 species